AUUUUGUGGCACAAAUUUUUGGCAAGAGUAACCCUAAGCCGCUUUCCCUUCUCCACUUCCGCAAUUCACUUCCACCGAUUCACCACCCUUAACUCAUCUUUGAUGUCAACUUCCGGUAACACCAACGAUUAACAAUUGUCAACCAUCGAUUCCAAGCUUUCGUAGAACCACCGAUUCUCAGCUUACGUCGAACUCAGUCCUUCGCCCACUCACAGCAUCGAACCCAACAACGAACUCUUCUCCAUACGUCUUCGCCGGCAUCUUCGAAGGUAGGUAUGCAUAUUCUUAUUUAUUUUGAGCUUUUUUUUAAUUACUUAUUUGUUUCGUUUGAUUCGUAAGAUUAGAAACAUAUGGAGUUCUUCGAUGCGUGAGAUUGAGGUGAUUUUGUUAAAAUUUGAUAUUUGUGUUUAAGGUAGUAUCUUAAAAUCUGAUUUGCUCGAUAUAAACUUAGAAUUAUCCACAAAUAUCGAUUGGUUGGUUUGAGCCUAUGAAUCACAAGUUUUGAUUCCGAGAUCGAUGUAUCCGACUGUUCCUGCCGCUUUCGUUUGUAUGUAAUCUUGAUUAGAAUCCGGACUCAUUAAUGAUAAUCCGAAAUCAGACGCUCUCGCUGUCAAGUUCGUGUCCAUGAGAAUGUUUGAUGACUUUAUGUCUCUGUAGGACAAGGUGUUGCUGAUUGAUUUGGUUGUGUUAUGCAUCCUCCAUUGAAUUUAACAAACACCUUAUGUGCGCCGAAUUUUGUUGGAGUUUUUGUAAUGUCACAACCUAUAUUGUGUAUGAAAGCCAUGGCAUGAUCAAUUCUGAAACUAUCAAACAUUGCAAAUUUAGCUAUUGAAGAAGAUCUCUUUGCAAAGUUGUGUAUGUCAUGCAUUUAUUUUGUGUUGAUUCCAAUCUAGAGAAGUUUAAGAUUAAUUAGCUAGAGUGCUCUUAUCCCUUAUCAAACUUUUUACAUUCAGCUUUCUUCAUAGUGGCUUAACAGAAGGAAGAUCUAUGCCUUUUGUGUUUAGGAAUACAUUGAUCCUCAUAUAUGUGGAGAUUAUGAGGUUAGUUAAUUUUAUACACGAUUUGUCUUUUUCUUGGGCACAAGAUGCAGCUUCUAUGGUAAGCAAUGAUACAAAAUCUGUGUAGAACCAACUUGCACAGCCAGGGUAAGCAUGUACCCCUGUUGACAUCUACUGGAGCUCUUUCCAGGUCAACUUCUUAAAGAGGACUUCAAAUUAUGUUUACAUAGUUUAAUACAAAUACUCGAAGAAGAGUAGAUGAACUUUUAAUACCCUGAAACUUGCAAUUGUUAUGAACUUAAUACCCUGAAACAUGGGGUUAUUAUUGUGUGAUUCUCUUUAAAGUAUAACUUUGUUAAAUAAGUCUAUUAAGUUUUGGUUAUUGACAACAUAUAUAUUGUCGUAUAAAUUCAUUUCAAAUGGAUUCUUGAUUAUUACGAUUCCUCUUCAGAAACUCUGAGGAGCAAUGGCAAUCUCUCCACAGUUAAGCAUGUAUGUUUUGAUGUCAAUUAUUGGUUAUAUAAGGCUGCUACUCCUUUGGUUCUACUCCACUGGCUGGUUGAGCUUGCUACUAUCGAAUCGUUGACAAUUACUUCAACUACGCUUUAGGCUCUUUCCCCUGUUCCCCUCUUCACCCGUUCCCGCUGGAUUAGUGGAGUUUUUGCUUCAAAACCCACCCUCAACAGAGGUUAACAUUGUUGAUUAAUUAAGGUCGGGUGUGCAUUCAACAUUUUACAGAUAACUUUCUUUAUUUUCUGUUUCCCCUCUAACCUUUGUGUAUAGUUAUUGAUUGUUUGAAAAAAAUCUUGCUGUCAUUAAAGAUAAAAAGUAUUAACUACUGAAUUUGCAAAUUCUAUGAGCAAAGUACUAAUUCAAAUUGGUCAAGGGUUGGUUUGGCGGUAGCUGAGUUAGAGUUGUUGUAAAAUUAGUAAGCACUAAUAAUACUAGUAGCAAAAAUAAGGUAGUCUCCUUUAUCUUCUUUAUUGGUAUUUAAAAUCUCUAGACUAGGUUGUUUUUCUGUUCUUGGAAGACACAAAUAAUAUAUAUGUUAGUUGUUAUUCUAUGAAUUGAAUGAAUAUAAUAUUCUAAUUGAUGGAUGUAAUUUAAGUUUAUGAUACUUUGAUGGAGAACUAUUUUGGUUUGUCGAGACAAUGGAGAAUUUGUUUGCUCUCUCAUUCUUA